rnacentral:rRNA from 1 species
UACGUAGGGGGCUAGCGUUGUCCGGAUUUAUUGGGCGUAAAGAGCGUGUAGGCGGCCAGGUAGGUCCGUUGUGAAAACUCGAGGCUCAACCUCGAGACGUCGGCGGAAACCCUCUGGCUAGAGUCCGGAAGAGGAGAGUGGAAUUCCUGGUGUAGCGGUGAAAUGCGCAGAUAUCAGGAAGAACACCCGUGGCGAAGGCGGCUCUCUGGGACGGUACUGACGCUGAGACGCGAAAGUCAGGGGAGCAAACGGG